CCUUUAUCUCAACCUCCCAAAACCAAAAUCCUAAACCUUAACCUUUCUGCUCGUCACAGCUUCGUCUUCGAUCAAAUUGAUGCAAUUAUCGAACAUUCUCAAAAACACGAAACACGUCAAGGAAUUCGAGCUUGGUGUGAAUCUAAAAACUCUCCAAACGAAAUUAUCGAACCCGUUUCGCAACCAAUAACAAUAUCUUUGUCUCAUGAAGAGGCAAAAAUGAACAGUGAACUCGCGAAAUUAGUGAAGAAAGAGGUGGAUUUGGUGCAUCUGUGGCCGGAGUGGAUUCAAUUGAUGAAGAUAUUGGUGCAUUAGAAUUAUUUUUAACACAUGAGGAAGAUUGAGGAUAAAAUGGUGCAGGAUUUAGGGUUUGAUACUACCGAGGAUGUACACGAUGAGGGGUUUGAUUUUACUAAGGGUUUUAAGAGUGUUCGUGUUAUGUGUCUCAAUUUUGGUGAGGAUCAUUUUCACUUGUUGAGUUCAAUGACACACUCAACAUUAUGUGGUUAUAUCUCGGCGGUUGAUUCUCCAAACAACUCCUAGAAUCAAGCACUUUGGUAUCCAGAGGAAACCUCUACCCCUUGAACCAACUGUACUACUACGAGAGGCUAACAGGCGGAGGGCUUCACUCUCCGCUGGAAAUGUUUUUGAAAUGUUUGACAGUCGCCAGGGUCCAAUGGAAGGAUGUCACCACAAAAAGUACUCUCAAAUUCGAUGACACGUACUAAUACUUCUCCG